rnacentral:lncRNA from 1 species
GUUUGGCAUUAUAUAUAUAUUAGAUAAUUGUUUAAUAAAGAUGUAUUGUUUUAUAUUACUUUUGUUGUGCAUAAGAAUUAGAAACUGACAUUGCCUGUUUACCUAAUGUAAUACCGGCUUCACACAUCAACGUAUAGAUCCGACGUACGUCGGCCGUGGUAAAAAAAUCAUGCACGCUUCCAAUACGCUAGUAAAUUUGAUGCAUUCAACCUGUCAAUCAUAUCUGUAUCGUGUGCACAACGACCUAAAACGAGUAUUGGGUGUGCGUAAAGCGUACCUAUGCGUUUCUCCUAGUCUUUCUACAUUCCCGACUGCAGGUCUGUCUAUAUGUGAAUGUUUGUCAAUAAGUCUGUCACAAUUCGCCCGUCUGUUUACAUGUUUACCAGUCCGUCUAUGCCCACUGGUUCGUCUACAUGUUCACUAGCUUUGAAAUAGCUUUCGGUAAGUGCGAUUAUUUCAGUGAUUUGUGUCUAUUGUUUUUAUGUAAGUGAUUAUUGUGCACCUUACCCAUAUUUUUAGGGACGCGAAUUGCAACUGAUAUUUUACAGUUUUUUUCUUGCGAUGUGUUGUCCUUAUGGUUUGGUUCAUUAGGGAGUGUUGGGUUUAUGGCCACCACAUUGUUUAUGUACCAAUGUCCAUUCUAAAGCCAGGAACAUGUAGUACAGUGGUUGUUGUUCAUAAUUCAUGUCGGUCAAGUUUUUUUCGUAAAUUAUUUUGUUAUCAAUAAGGCUAUUUGAUUUUUGUUUUUAAAUCUUAAUGGUCGGGGCAUUUAAUAGCCUAUACUAAAUAGAUUUUUUUUUUUCAUUUUUGGAGGCCGCUCGGUGGCCUUUAAAGACUUACUACCACGUCAUUGUAACUCUGGUUGAUACUUGUAUCAUUAGUGCUGGACCAUGGUCGAUCCUAUGCACCUUUGAGGCAGGCGGGAUAAUUUUGUAGAUCUUGUACAGCUCAAACUAAUGGGAGUAGUUCCUGUACUUCUCUAUGUCCCCAUGUUGCAUGGUUGGAGAGGGUGUAAUAUCUUCUGUAGGUUUGUGUGAGUUUCACCCGUAUCGGACUUCUUCUCCUUAAUGAAAGUUUUAAGGCGACGAAUAUUUUUGUAUGCAAUGUGCCCUUAACGUGUCUCAAACUUAUCUGUCGUGCAGAGUGUAUAUUAUGUACGUGCAGUUUACAGGUAUACGCUUGACAAACGCUUGAGCUGAAUGAAAUUUUUUAUGUUCCAUUAAAAUUUUCCUGAAGGAAAAGCGUUCACCAAGCGUAUACCUUUGCUUUUCGACGUACUUCAGACUUAUGGAACGCGGGUUUAAAUGCUUGCGUAGCGUUCCUCUGGUGAGCAACUAAGUUACGCAUACGAUGAUACGGACUUUGUUAAUUUUCUUUUUUGACUGAUUAUUUUACAUUGUCUUUUCGGGCCCUUUUAUAGCCCACUAUGCGGUACGUGCUUUGUCUGUUGUUGAAGGCCGUACGGAGACCCAUAGUUUGUACUUCUGUGUUAUUUUCGUUUCUUUUAGAUAGUUGUCUCAUUGACACCAAACCAUAUCUUCUUUUUUAUAUUCGAUAUCUUAUCGCCGACCUGGUUAAGUCUGCUAAAAAUGCAUCCAUGAUUCAUUUUUAGGUUAUCAGUCGUAAUGAAAGUGGCACAUUUAAUUCGUAGUUUCAUUGCUUGAAGCAGAGACAUAUAAUACAAUUGCUUGAAGUAUCAUUUCUUACAUCUGCAUGGUCAAAUGUGUAUUUUUUUAAAACAAAUUUUAGAUUUAGAUUUCAGUCACGGUUAUUUCCCCCCUUUUCAUAUUGAAUAUCUAUACUUAUCAGUCGCAUUUUAAUGACGAAAAGGAUUCAGAGGUUAUUAUGUGACCUCCUUGUUUUAAAUAACUUUAAAUUUGCAAUAUUAAUGAAA